CAUUUAUUACUUUUAAUUCUAAUUACAAAUAAUGCAUGCUCACUGAGAGGGUUUGAAAGUUUAUUUUAAAAAGCCCAAGUCAUGGUGGUAUGAAUGUUUUUGCUCUCUCUUGAGUGCUUAGAUUUUCAAUCCCUCUUGGAGCAUAUGAAUUAUUUGCAUACAUGGAGAGAUAUAUAUAUAUAUCUGUGUAUAUAUAUAUAUAUAUAUAUAUAUAUUUGUGUAUAUAUAUAUAUCUAUAUCUGUGU
rnacentral:lncRNA from 10 species